CUAGUUGGUGAGGUAAUGGCUCACCAAGGCGUCGAUCCGUAGCCGGCCUGAGAGGGCGGUCGGCCACACUGACACUGAAUAACGGGUCAGACUCCUACGGGAGGCAGCAGUCGGGAAUUUUGGGCAAUGGGCGCAAGCCUGACCCAGCAACGCCGCGUGAAGGAUGAAAUCUUUCGGGAUGUAAACUUCACAAGAACGGGAAGAAUAAGUAAGUGUAAAUACCACUUAUGAUGACGGUACUGUUUGUAAGCUCCGGCUAACUCCGUGCCAGCAGCCGCGGUAAUACGGGGGGAGCAAGCGUUGUUCGGAUUUACUGGGCGUAAAGGGCGCGUAGGCGGCGCAACAAGUCACUUGUGAAAUCUUCAGGCUUAACCUGAAGCGGCCAAGUGAUACUGUCGUGCUAGAGUGCGGAAGGGGCAACUGGAAUUCUUGGUGUAGCGGUGAAAUGCGUAGAUAUCAAGAGGAACACCUGCGGCGAAGGCGGGUUGCUGGGCCGACACUGACGCUGAGGCGCGAAAGCUAGGGGAGCGAACGGGAUUAGAUACCCCGGUAGUCCUAGCCUUAAACGAUGAAUGCUUGGUGUCCGAGGUUAGAUAGUCCUCGGGUGCCGUCGCUAACGCUUUAAGCAUUCCGCCUGGGGAGUACGGUCGCAAGACUGAAACUCAAAGGAAUUGACG
rnacentral:rRNA from 1 species